CUGGCCCUGAAUCAAGGCCGACAGCUUCCGUCGAUGUCUUUCUAUGGUCUGUUGGCCAUUUCAGAACAGGGGAGGUGAAAUGGUCAAUUCAUUACAAAGAAACAGCU
ensembl:snoRNA